GACGAACGCUGGCGGCGUGCUUAACACAUGCAAGUCGAGCGGAGCGGCGAACGGGUGAGUAACGCGUGAGUAACUGCCCCCCUCUCUGGGAUAACAGUUGGAAACGGCUGCUAAUACCGGAUAGUGGGGGAUGACUCGCGUCCUAACAGCUUUUUGGUGGGGUGAUGGCCUCACAAGGCGGUGACGGGUAGCCGGACUGAGAGGGUGACCGGCGACGUUGGGCUGAUAUACGGCCCAGUCUCCUACGGGAGGCAGAAGUGGGGGAUAUUGCACAAUGGGCGAAAGCCUGAUGCAGCGACGCCGCGUGGGGGAUGGAGGCUUUCGGGGUGUAAAGCUCUUUCGCUAUCGAAAGGGUAGGUGGAGAAGAAGCGCCGGCUAACUACGUGCCAGCCGCCGCGGUAAUUC
rnacentral:rRNA from 1 species